rnacentral:rRNA from 1 species
AACACAUGCAAGUCGAACGGGAUGCUUAGGCAUCUAGUGGCGGACGGGUGAGUAACGCGUGAGAAUCUGGCUCCAGGUCGGGGAUAACAGUUGGAAACGACUGCUAAUACCGGAUGUGCCGAGAGGUGAAAGAUUUAUUGCCUGGAGAUGAGCUCGCGUCUGAUUAGCUAGUUGGUGGUGUAAGGGACCACCAAGGCGUCGAUCAGUAGCUGGUCUGAGAGGAUGAUCAGCCACACUGGGACUGAGACACGGCCCAGACUCCUACGGGAGGCAGCAGUGGGGAAUUUUCCGCAAUGGGCGAAAGCCUGACGGAGCAAUACCGCGUGAGGGAGGAAGGCUCUUGGGUCGUAAACCUCUUUUCUCAAGGAAGAAGAAAGUGACGGUACUUGAGGAAUAAGCAUCGGCUAACUCCGUGCCAGCAGCCGCGGUAAUACGGAGGAUGCAAGCGUUAUCCGGAAUGAUUGGGCGUAAAGGGUCUGCAGGUGGAACUGAAAGUCUGCUGUUAAAGAGUUUGGCUUAACCAAAUAAAAGCGGUGGAAACUACAGAACUAGAGUGCGGUAGGGGCAAAAGGAAUUCCUGGUGUAGCGGUGAAAUGCGUAGAUAUCAGGAAGAACACCGGUGGCGAAAGCGUUUUGCUAGACCGUAACUGACACUGAGGGACGAAAGCUAGGGGAGCGAAUGGGAUUAGAUACCCCAGUAGUCCUAGCCGUAAACGAUGGAUACUAGGCGUGGCUUGUAUCGACCCGAGCCGUGCCGGAGCUAACGCGUUAAGUAUCCCGCCUGGGGAGUACGCACGCAAGUGUGAAACUCAAAGGAAUUGACGGGGGCCCGCACAAGCGGUGGAGUAUGUGGUUUAAUUCGAUGCAACGCGAAGAACCUUACCAAGACUUGACAUCCUGCGAAUCCUGGUGAAAGCUGGGAGUGCCUUAGGGAGCGCAGAGACAGGUGGUGCAUGGCUGUCGUCAGCUCGUGUCGUGAGAUGUUGGGUUAAGUCCCGCAACGAGCGCAACCCUCGUUUUUAGUUGCCAGCAUUAAGUUGGGCACUCUAGAGAGACUGCCGGUGACAAACCGGAGGAAGGUGAGGAUGACGUCAAGUCAGCAUGCCCCUUACGUCUUGGGCUACACACGUACUACAAUGCUACGGACAGAGGGCAGCAAGCCAGGGAUGGCAAGCGAAUCCAGAAACCGUAGCUCAGUUCAGAUCGAAGGCUGCAACUCGCCUUCGUGAAGGAGGAAUCGCUAGUAAUUGCAGGUCAGCAUACUGCAGUGAAUUCGUUCCCGGGCCUUGUACACACCGCCCGUCACACCAUGGAAGUUGGUCACGCCCGAAGUCAUUACCCCACCCGAAAGGAGGGGGAUGCCUAAGGUAGGACUGGUGACUGGGGUGA